AUAUAUUAGAGAUGAAUAUAUAUUAGUUACUGUUUAAAAUAAAAUAAGUCAUUUAUAAAAGAUUGCAGGUUACUGUUUUUGAAUUUCUAGAAAAAAAGAAACUGUUUUGAAGAAAUUUGAUAAUUUUUCAAAACCUCCGCAGCAUAAUGUAAUAUUGACUCAAAGUUCAAACAAAGUAAUAAAAAAGAAAUUGCCAAAAUAAUAUAAUAAUUCAUACAAUAAUCAAAUAAAAAAAUAAAUA
rnacentral:misc_RNA from 1 species